rnacentral:rRNA from 1 species
CCUACGGGAGGCAGCAGUGAGGAAUAUUGGUCAAUGGGCGAGAGCCUGAACCAGCCAAGUCGCGUGAGGGAGUACUGCCCUAUGGGUUGUAAACCUCUUUUGUCGGGGAGCAAAAGCCGGACGUGUCCGGCUGUGAGAGUACACGAAGAAAAAGCAUCGGCUAACUCCGUGCCAGCAGCCGCGGUAAUACGGAGGAUGCGAGCGUUAUCCGGAUUUAUUGGGUUUAAAGGGUGCGCAGGCGGGUUUUUAAGUCAGCGGUAAAAUCGUGGGGCUCAACCCCAUCCAGCCGUUGAAACUGGGGAUCUAGAGUGUGCGAGAGGUAUGCGGAAUGCGUGGUGUAGCGGUGAAAUGCAUAGAUAGCACGCAGAACCCCGAUUGCGAAGGCAGCAUACCGGUGCACAACUGACGCUCAGGCACGAAAGCGUGGGUAUCGAACAGGAUUAGAUACCCGUGUAGUC